UACGAAGGGGGCUAGCGUUGCUCGGAAUCACUGGGCGUAAAGCGCACGUAGGCGGAUUGCUAAGUCAGGGGUGAAAUCCUGGAGCUCAACUCCAGAACUGCCUUUGAUACUGAGGAUCUUGAGUUCGGGAGAGGUGAGUGGAACUGCGAGUGUAGAGGUGAAAUUCGUAGAUAUUCGCAAGAACACCAGUGGCGAAGGCGGCUCACUGGCCCGAUACUGACGCUGAGGCACGAAAAGCGUGGGGGAGCAAAACAGGG
rnacentral:rRNA from 1 species